rnacentral:rRNA from 1 species
GACGAACGCUGGCGGCGUGCUUAACACAUGCAAGUCGAACGGAAAGGCUCCAGCUUGCUGGAGUACUCGAGUGGCGAACGGGUGAGUAACACGUGGGUAAUCUGCCCUGCACUCUGGGAUAAGCCUGGGAAACUGGGUCUAAUACUGGAUAUGACCUUUCUCCUUAUGGGGUUUGGUGGAAAGUUUUUCGGUGUAGGAUGAGCCCGCGGCCUAUCAGCUUGUUGGUGGGGUUAUGGCCUACCAAGGCGACGACGGGUAGCCGGCCUGAGAGGGUGAGCGGCCACAUUGGGACUGAGAUACGGCCCAGACUCCUACGGGAGGCAGCAGUGGGGAAUAUUGCACAAUGGGCGGAAGCCUGAUGCAGCGACGCCGCGUGAGGGAUGACGGCCUUCGGGUUGUAAACCGCUUUCAGCAGGGACGAAGCGUAAGUGACGGUACCUGCAGAAGAAGCACCGGCUAACUACGUG